rnacentral:rRNA from 1 species
AGCGGGGGAAGGUAGCUUGCUACCGGACCUAGCGGCGGACGGGUGAGUAAUGCUUAGGAAUCUGCCUAUUAGUGGGGGACAACAUCUCGAAAGGGAUGCUAAUACCGCAUACGUCCUACGGGAGAAAGCAGGGGAUCUCCGGACCUUGCGCUAAUAGAUGAGCCUAAGUCGGAUUAGCUAGUUGGUGGGGUAAAGGCCUACCAAGGCGACGAUCUGUAGCGGGUCUG